GGGUCCGCAAGCGCUUGGUUGAUUGCCAACGCGAGCGCAUCAAUGUCGCCAUUGUCCACGAGCGUGCCGAUGCGGCCGCGUUCCAGAAUCUCGUCCGGGCCGCCACUUCGUGUCGACACCACUGGAAGNUCCUGAUGCCAGCGCUUCGACAACCACAUUGCCGAAGGCUUCCCUGCGCGACGUCAGCGCAAAGCACCGGGCCUGCGCAUAGCAAGGCCAUGGGUCAUCGCGAUAGCCCGGAAGUUCCAGUCUGUCUGCGACGCCGAGUUGCUUCGCGCGUGCCAGCAAAUUAUCCCGCUCGGGACCUUCGCCAAAGAUCACGAGGCGCGCAUCUGCGUGCAGACGGGGAAGCGCCUCGACCAGCGAUGCAAAAUCCUUUUCCGGAUU
rnacentral:misc_RNA from 1 species